GAGGGGGAUAACUACUGGAAACGGUAGCUAAUACCGCAUAACGUCGCAAGACCAAAGAGGGGGACCUUCGGGCCUCUUGCCAUCGGAUGUGCCCAGAUGGGAUUAGCUUGUUGGUGAGGUAACGGCUCACCAAGGCGACGAUCCCUAGCUGGUCUGAGAGGAUGACCAGCCACACUGGAACUGAGACACGGUCCAGACUC
rnacentral:rRNA from 1 species